AAAUGAGUAAAAGGAGCGUCACCUCAGGCGCAGACCCCGCCCCCCCGGAACCCGACCCCGCCCUCCGCCCCAGACCCCGCCCUGCAACGCGCACCGCCCAGCGGGAGACGCGCUACGGCUUGUUUUAUUGUCGACAGCGGCGAAAGGAAGUUUGUUUGUUAAAGACAAGUGUAAUACAUAUAUUUUACAUUUACUUAAUUUAUGAUGACGCAAUUUAUUUCUAAUAUGCGCAAACCUUAUAUAAAAACCAUAUACACCAUACACUCGUAUACAUGGCGACUAUAUAUUGACGCGCUAGUCGAUUAGAAAAAUACCGUCUAGACGCUGCAGAUUGUGGUCAUUUCUUUGUGUUCUCGGCUAAAUAUCGACUCCAGAAACACCAGCGCCGCGUGUGUUAGCGGCCAUUUCGCUCACCUGUACUGUGUGUUGACCGACCACACCUUGAUUUCAACACGAAACCAGACUGAGCCAGAUGAGUCAGAGCAGCCAGGAAGCGAUACGCUGUGUGGCUGUGGCACAGAACACACAAAGGACACAGAUACUGGAAUGUCCUGCAUUUAUCUGGUGGUAAAAGCGUUAAAGGACUUACAGUCAUAAACGCAGAGCCGAGUUGCGCAAUCAGCCAAAUCAGCAAACUGCUCAUGUUUUCUCCAUGUCCCCGUCAGUUCUGAAAAUGGUUUCGUAAUUAACAGUUCGGUGUGUAAAAAAAUAAACAAAUGCUAAAAA